AAAGGGUGUGUGGAUAAAACUUCCCAUUGAACUUGCAAACCUUGUUGAAACUGUGGUCAUGGUAUGCCACAGCAGGGAAACACAAAUAAAGGAAAUUAGAUUGACAUCGAUUAGUUCUGCAUAUCUUUUGAGUCUGAAGUCGACAAGAUAUCAACUUUCCAGUCUACUUUGUGGAUUUGUAGCUUUCAUUCUGUAAUCAUCUUAUGUUGAUUAUAGGAAGGCUUUUGGUAUCAUCUUGCAGAGCCAAGUUAUCUAAUGCUGGUUUACUGGAUUCCUGAAACUAUUAAUACACUCCCUGCAAAUGCUACACAUCGUGUUGGAGUUGGUCCUAUUGUCUUAACAGAGAAAAGAGAGAUGCUUGUAGUACGGGAAAAGAGUGGUAGACUUCGAGGAACAGGUGUCUGGAAUAUCCCUAUUGGAAUCGUGGAUGAGAGAGGAUAUAUGUGCAGCAGCCAUCGGAGAAGUUAAGGAAGAGACAGGAGUUGAUGCAGAAUUUGUCGAGGUAGUAGCUUUCAGGUAUGCCCAAUAUAUUAGGCUUAAUUGGAUAGGAGCUCCAUUGAUAUUUGGCUGCUUUUGACUUUCUACUUGCUUAUCCUUGUUACUUUGGGGAUUGUGCACUAUCAAUGUCAUCCACAAGGCUGAGCCGUCUUAUGCAGGUCAUCCAUAUCCACAGGAGUUCUGAAUGCUGGCACUUCUAUCCAUCGGGAAGCCUUGUCUAGCCUUUCUUCUCGACUGCAAACAUUGCAGGUAACACUGUAUGUUAACAGCGUACAUUUUUAGGGGGCGGAUGAAUGAGUACAUGAUAAACUUACCAUAACAUAUUGUUCCUUGAUAUGGUUUAUAUUAAUCGAGGUAGUAGCUUUCUGGUUCUGGGCUAGCUAACCAUUUUCUUAUUCUUUACUUAGAUUUUGUUUUUGAUAAAAUGUUUGAAAAAGAUCAAAACCAGGAAAUCCAUUCUCUGCGGCAAAAUUUAGUAAACUAUACUGCAUGGAUUUACAGAAGUGUACCAUAAAUGAAAGGGAUAUGUUAUUAAACCUUAUUGAUUAUACCAAGUAAAAGCGUUUCCUCCAAACUUGUGUCUUAUCCAAGCACUACUAAUGUUGUCACACACCACUGCAACGUCUAACUACUACGAGCCAUCAUCAAAUGCUGAAUUCACCCAUUAACUAGGUUAGUUAUGAAACCUCAUGACUUGGAACUUCUUAAUUAUUUAUGUGCAAUAUACAACAUAGCUCCUUUUUUGUAAAAUAAUUUGGGGCAUGAAAAAGUUCAGGAGAUGAUUGUCAUGCAAGAUAUUCCUGUUUUUAGAUUUAACUACUGUAUUUGUUGUAUCAGGGGUUAAGGACCAAAGAGAUUGACUAUUGUUUGGUACUCUCUAAUUUAAAUUAAAUUUUCAUUUUCAGCAUGCCAUGUACCUUUAGUUUUGUUUGUUCCAUUUUCAGCUCUUGUUUGUAGGUGUUUAUGA